GACGAACCGAGCGAACGUUGUUCGGAAUCACUGGGCUUAAAGGGCGCGUAGGCGGGCUGCCAAGUCCGUGGUGAAAUCCCCCGGCUCAACCGGGGAAGGGCCUCGGAUACUGGCGGCCUCGAGGGGGGUAGGGGCGUGCGGAACUGUGGGUGGAGCGGUGAAAUGCGUUGAUAUCCACAGGAACUCCGGUGGCGAAGGCGGCACGCUGGACCCCAUCUGACGCUGAGGCGCGAAAGCCAGGGGAGCGAAC
rnacentral:rRNA from 1 species